rnacentral:rRNA from 1 species
AAACUGAAGAGUUUGAUCCUGGCUCAGAUUGAACGCUGGCGGCAUGCUUUACACAUGCAAGUCGAACGGCAGCGCGGGGCAACCUGGCGGCGAGUGGCGAACGGGUGAGUAAUAUAUCGGAACGUACCCAAGAGUGGGGGAUAACGUAGCGAAAGUUACGCUAAUACCGCAUACGAUCCAAGGAUGAAAGCAGGGGACCGCAAGGCCUUGUGCUCCUGGAGCGGCCGAUAUCUGAUUAGCUAGUUGGUAGGGUAAAGGCCUACCAAGGCGACGAUCAGUAGCUGGUCUGAGAGGACGACCAGCCACACUGGAACUGAGACACGGUCCAGACUCCUACGGGAGGCAGCAGUGGGGAAUUUUGGACAAUGGGCGCAAGCCU